UGGGGAAUAUUGCACAAUGGGGGAAAGCCCUGAUGCAGCGACGCCGCGUGAGUGAAGAAGUAUUUCGGUAUGUAAAGCUCUAUCAGCAGGGAAGAUAAUGACGGUACCUGACUAAGAAGCCCCGGCUAACUACGUGCCAGCAGCCGCGGUAAUACGUAGGGGGCAAGCGUUAUCCGGAUUUACUGGGUGUAAAGGGAGCGUAGGUGGCAAGGCAAGUCAGAUGUGAAAACCCGGGGCUCAACUCCGGGAUUGCAUUUGAAACUGUUUUUCUUGAGUACUGGAGAGGCAGACGGAAUUCCUAGUGUAGCGGUGAAAUGCGUAGAUAUUAGGAGGAACACCAGUGGCGAAGGCGGUCUGCUGGACAGCAACUGACGCUGAGGCGCGAAAGCGUGGGGAGCAAACAGGAUUAGAUACCC
rnacentral:rRNA from 1 species